GGCGCCGCGCUGACCGAGCUACGACCCGCGAACACGAUCGACGGCCAUUGUCGCCGCUGCCGGUGUCCAGGUUCAACGCCGCCCAGGCUGCCGGUGUGCACCUGCAGCUUCCCGUCGCCGGUGUACUGUCGUUGUCGCCGCCAAAUGACCAACGCGGACCGCCACAGUUCAAACUUCAACGCCUCGCGAGGUGCCAAUGACGACGCCAGAUCUCUCGGCUUGCCGACGAGGUAUCUCGAUGUCGCCGCCCACAUCGGAUGGUAGGAGCGCCUCGCCUCCUUCCCGACACCGCUAGAUCUGGCGGUGGCGGCUGAACCACCGCUUCGCACUACCGGAAAAUGAAAUUUUGCCGAGUGUUUUUUUGCCGAGUGUUUUUUUGCCGAGUGCCUAUCUUAAAACACUCGGCAAACCUAUGCAAACCUCCACACUGCUGGAACUGGUCCAACUGCCAACUCCCGCGGCACAUAUUCAGAAAGCGGCAAUAUUGCUAACUGAUCCCUCCGUAUCAAAAUAAUUGUGUUGUUGACUUUUUUUCUACAACUUUGACCAUUCGUCUCAUUCAAAAAAUUAUGUAAGUAUCAUCUACUUUGUUCGUGACAUGCUUUACUAUUAUAGGUGUUUUAAAGAUGACUUAUCUCUUUAUAUGUUUACAAUAAAUUUUUGAAUAAGACGAAUAGUCAAAGUUGUAAGAAAAAUUCAACGUCGACAAAUAUUUCAAUAUGGAGGGUAGUGAUAUGGAGGGUAGUAGUUGCAAUAAACUUCCUUAUAACAGUUUCUGAAACUGUUCUUUGACGAUACAAAAUCUGACAAUUUAGCACACAUUUCCAAUCCAAACGCCACUUAAAUGCUCCUUACCACUGGAAUUGAAAAUACAGCUGAAAACUCUAGCUAAGACACAGAAUUGGACAGAAUAUAUAUAUAUAUAUAUAUAUAUAUAUAUAUAUAUAUAUAUAUAUAUAAGUGCUAGUAUAUAUUCAUAAAGUAGAAAAUCAUGUUAGUAAUGUAACCGAUAAAAAACAACUUAAUCUUACUUGAAGUAAAUCAGUAUUUCACGAGUACAGAGUACCUGACCUCUGUCCUAAGAAAGUGAACUUAGGGUGAGUUUGGUUGGUUGUAUCAUUUAAUUUAUGUAUAAAAUGGUUCAAAAUAUUAAUGAUCUUUUUAUUUAGUUGGGUGAAUUUUUAUUUGGCUGGGUGAAUUGUACCAACUCAUUCAGGAUGAAGCCAUCCCACUUAAUAUAUUAUUCUUGAACCAUAUGGUACAAGCAAAUUGGUUGAAUCCCACCAUCCAAAUCAUCCAUACAUGCAUUAUAUGUGCAUGCAACCAAAUACACCCUUAAUUUCUUCGUCUGUCGAAGCACAACACCGUACCUGACCUCUGUCCUGAGAAAGUGAACCACUUAAUUUCUGUGCUGACUGGUCCGUCAGUGGCCAUCUCAGCAUACGGUCCAGUCGUCUUCAACCUCCAC
rnacentral:lncRNA from 1 species